GACAGCUCACAUUAUUACCUAGAACAAAGCUUCUUUGGCACAACAAGAAGCCAAAUAGGUAAAGUAGGGCCUUUAUAGAGUAGGAUGUCUGGAAUACUGUAUCCUCAUCUCUUGUUGUGGUGUUGACUUAUAAAGUGGGUAUGUCUUCUGAAUCGGCAUAACAGUUUAUAACAUUUACGUCAUUUAGCAGACGCUCUUAUCCAGAGCGACUUACAGUAGUGAGUGCAUACAUUUCAUACAUUUUUUUUUUCUUCUCCGUACUGGUCCCCCGUGGGAAUCGAACCCACAACCCUGGCAUUGCAAACACCAUGCUCUACCAACUGAGCCACACAGGACACAUCUGAAUCAUGUUUGCAUCCCCUAAAUGUUUCAUUUUUGAGUCGUUCACAAUAAUAAUUUUCUUUAAUGAGUUCAUAUUUUGUCUAUUUGUGUUUGUGAAUUCCAGGAUGCGGUGUGCUGACGUCUUAGCUGAGAAUGCAACAGAUGGACACUGGGUGUUUGCCAAGGCUGUCUUCAAAAGCACGGUGACAGGGACAGUCACACUGUCCCAGCAGACUUUUCUGGAUGGCAGCUACAGUGACAUCACUCUGGAGGUGGACGUGCGGUCAUCACAGGUGCUAGACGUAAGCAUGCAUGGACCUCUCGGAUCUGUUCAAUCUCUUUUAAUAGAAACAAAAAAAA
rnacentral:lncRNA from 1 species